UACGUAGGGUCCGAGCGUUGUCCGGAAUUGCUGGGCGUAAAGAGCUCGUAGGUGGUUUGUCGCGUUGUUCGUGAAAACUCACAGCUCAACUGUGGGCGUGCGGGCGAUACGGGCAGACUUGAGUACUGCAGGGGAGACCGGAAUUCCUGGUGUAGCGGUGGAAUGCGCAGAUAUCAGGAGGAACACCAGUGGCGAAGGCGGCACUCUGGGCCGGUACUGACGCUGAGGAGCGAAAGCGUGGGGAGCGAACAGG
rnacentral:rRNA from 1 species